GACGAACGCUGGCGGCGUGCUUAACACAUGCAAGUCGAGCGAUGAAACUACUUCGGUAGUGAAUUAGCGGCGAACGGGUGAGGAACACGUGAGGAAUCUGCCUUCAACACUGGGAUAACUCCGGGAAACCGGGGCUAAUACCGGAUAUGAGCUCUGAUCGCAUGGUCGGGGCUGUAAAGUUUUUCGGUUGAAGAUGACCUCGCGGCCUAUCAGCUUGUUGGUGAGGUAAUGGCUCACCAAGGCGACGACGGGUAGCCGGCCUGAGAGGGCGACCGGCCACACUGGGACUGAGACACGGCCCAGACUCCUACGGGAGGCAGCAGUGGGGAAUAUUGGGCAAUGGAGGAAACUCUGACCCAGCGACGCCGCGUGCGGGAUGAAGGCCUUCGGGUUGUAAACCGCUUUCAGUAGGGAAGAAGCGAAAGUGACGGUACCUACAGAAGAAGCACCGGCUAACUAUGUGCCAGCAGCCGCGGUAAUACAUAGGGUGCAAGCGUUGUCCGGAAUUAUUGGGCGUAAAGAGCUCGUAGGUGGUUUGAUACGUCGGGUGUGAAAUUCAGGGGCUCAACCCCUGACCUGCAUUCGAUACGGUCAAGCUAGAGUUUGGUAGGGGAGACUGGAAUUCCUGGUGUAGCGGUGGAAUGCGCAGAUAUCAGGAGGAACACCGAUGGCGAAGGCAGGUCUCUGGGCCAAUACUGACACUGAGGAGCGAAAGCGUGGGGAGCGAACAGGAUUAGAUACCCUGGUAGUCCACGCCGUAAACGGUGGGCGCUAGUUGUGCGAACCUUCCACGGUUUGUGCGACGCAGCUAACGCAUUCAGCGCCCCGCCUGGGGAGUA
rnacentral:rRNA from 1 species